UUGUGAGUGGGUGAGCUUGGGUUUUUGGGACUUCCAUGAAGAUUCGAUGAUCAUUUGAUGUUCUUUGCAUUUUAACGGGUUUCUUUGAAUUUUUCUUCGAAGAUCUUCGAGUUUUCUUUGAAGUUCUUCAAAGAUCUUCAUCCUCUCUUUGAAGAUCCUCAAAGUUCUUGAGGAGGGAGCUGUUAGUAGAAUUUGAAAUCUUUUUAGGCUUUUUUACAAAUUAUGGGAUUUCUUAGGGUUCCCUGUAAUUUUGAAAAAUAUGGCCUAGAGAAGAAAGAGAAGGACUCGCAGAGGACUCUAGCUAGAUGGCACGGAGAGUUAUGGUACUUCAUCUCUUUUUAGUGUCCCGUGGACUGGUAUAAUGGACGGACGCUCCAGAGGACUCGAGGUCACGUAUGUAACUCCAUAUAGGGCACAAGGGGGUCCAAUGGGAAAGAACCACCCGCAUUGGCUAGAUAUGGCCAUCUAAAUUCGGCCUAAGAUUGGCGCAAAGUGCUUCCUCACAGGGUCAAGGGGAUUGUGGAUAUAUCUUACCUGAGCAGAUUGGCCUUGCUGGAGACCAGAAAGUUCAGCCCCGCAUUGGCGAGAGGCCUGAUUGAGCAUUGGUGGCCGAGUACUCACUCUUUCUGUCUCCCUAUAGGUGAUAUUACCAUCACACCCUUGUGCUUCUAUGCCUUGAUAGGCAUACCAUUUGGGGAGAGGCUUUGAAUCCUUCCUACGACCUUGAAGGUAGAGGAUUUUACAGACUUGACUGGUUUUGACAUCCAGAAUGAUCAGAAUCAUGUCCGCCUAGGUGAGAUCAGUGCUCGCUUGUGUAGGAUCGGCCUGAGGGUGAACCCCGGUACCAUUGCAUAGGUGACCCAUUCUUUUCUCUUACUUACUAUGGGUCAAUGUCUUUAUAGCAACCUCCGAGGUGGGGUAGACAUCCGCAUGGCUGCCCUCUUUCGGAACCUUUGGGAGGUGGACACUUGGGAUUGGGGCGGGGCCGCCUAUGCCUACCUUUUGUGGACUCUUGAUCUUUUAUCAUAUGGAGAUUGGGGCCUCAAGGGAGCGGGCUACAUUCUCUAGUUAGCAUCAUAUCUUUCACACAUUUAUUUAUUUUUUAUUGCACUUCCUUACUUUGAUUUCUCAACUUAGCCCUAGUGUUAUGAACACUUGGAGUUUAUGGGCCCCAUACUGAAGGCUCCUCAAGCAUCGUUCUUUCCCGUAGCCAUGAGAUGAGGAAAUGGUCAGGUACUGAGGGGCCACCGCCAUCCUCCAUGGACUCCUGCUCGUUCUCUUUUGAAUGGGCAUACAGAGGUAAGUCAUGUUUGGCAUAGAAUUUCCCUUUGUCUUGUGCUAUACUUCUUUUGAAUUUGCAGGUUUCUUGGAGGUUGUUUCGGCAUCUUAGCUUUCUUGACAUUGGUGAGGUCACUCGGGCCAAACACUUAAUAGAGAGUCGACUUCUAUUCAGGGGUCCCUGGGCCGAUGCUUGGUAUUUGGGAGAGCUGGUCACCCUUUAGUGGUCUGAUUUUGGCAUGCGCUUCCCUCUUUGUCUUCCUCAACCUACCAUGCAUCACCCAAAGUGCAUCCCUAUGUAUCAGAUUAAGGGAUUAGCUGAAGAAGUAUGGGAUGACUCCUUUCUAGAUUAGAGUGGGGAUUAUGGGACCUUCCUUGAGGAGGAGACAGUCUGUGCCCCUUUGGGUCCCAGAGGGCCAAUGUGGAGGACACAGCAUGCGGCCCCUUCUUUUGUCUGGCUGCAAUCUUAUGCUAUUGGUUCUUCCCAUGCCGGGCCUUCCACUACUGCAGGUGGUUCUCAUAACAUGGCCACUGUCCCCUUUUAUGGCUUCCCAUGUUGGUCUUAUCCUGAUGCAACCAAUCCUAGUAUCCUGCAUCUCCUUGAGCGUAGGCUAGAUAGAGAUGCUCCCCUCAGACUACCCAUUCCCUAUGACUGUGUGAGUGUUCAAACAUUUCUCAUUUGAUCGUCCUUUAAUUCCUUUUGGUUGACAUGGUCUUCAUCAGGUGUCUUCAAAGGCCUAUGCUAACAUUAGGUGGAUGCACCAAGGCUUAUGCGAGGUGGUGCUCCAUAAGGUAAAAUCUUUCCUUUAACCUUGUCCCAUUUUCUUUAUUUGCUUUUGUUUUGGCCAUUCUUGGUAUUUCUCAGGAUGGGAAAAAUGUUAUUUUGAGGAGACAAGUCAACUUCCAACAACAAGAGAUUUCCCGGUGGGACACUCAGAUCUUGGACCUUACUCAAAGAAUGGAAAACUCGGGAUUGGCACUUGAUAGCUCCCCGAUGUUCCCUGAGGCCAACCCUGAGUAUGGCUUAGAUGAGGACUUUGAUUCUUAGGGACCUGUUCUUGUAGUUCCUGCAAUCACAACUAUAUGUAUAUAUUUUUUUUUCUUUUUCCCUCCCCAUGCUUAUUCAUCAUUUUUUUUUGUAU